AUAGCGCUCCGUGUCGAAGCGAACGCGUUAAGCAUCCCGCCUGGGGACUACGGCCGCAAGUGUUUAACGCAUACGAAUUGACGGGACCCCGCACAAGCAGCGGAGCGUGUGGUUAAUUUCGAUGCUACACGAAGAACCUUACUUGGGUUUGACAUCUAGGUGGUAGUGAAGCGAAAGCGGAGCGACCUUUCGGGGAGCCUAGACAGGUGCUGCAUGGCUGUCGUCAGCUCGUGCCGUGAGGUGUCGGGUUAAGUCCAAAAACGAGCGCAACCGGUGCCCUCCGUUAUACGUGUCAGAGGGGACUGCCGGCGCUCCGCCGGACGAAGGUGGGGAUGACGUCAAGUCAGCAUGGCCUUUAUAUCCAGGGCUACACACACGCUACAAUGGCCAGUACAAAGGGCAGCGAAGCCGCGAGGUGGAGCGAAUCNCAGCAAGCAUGGUCGUAGUUCGGAUUGCAGGCUGCAACCCGCCUGCAUGAAGCUGGAGUUGCUAGUAACCGCGCGUCCUCAUCUGUGCGGUGAUACGUUCCCGGGUUUGACACACCGCCCGUACGUCAUGGGAG
rnacentral:rRNA from 1 species